AGCAGCCGCGGUAAUUCCAGCUCCAAUAGCGUAUAUUAAAGUUGUUGCAGUUAAAAAGCUCGUAGUUGAAUUUCGGGAUCAGUACGCUGGUCGUGCCUUUGGUAUGUACUGGUGUCACUGAUUCCUCCCUUCUGAAGAACCGUUAUGCCAUUUAUUUGGUGUGGCGGGAAAUCAGGACUGUUACUUUGAAAAAAUUAGAGUGUUUAAAGCAGGCUCGCGCUUGAAUACAUUAGCAUGGAAUAAUGAAAUAGGACGUUUGAUCUUAUUUUGUUGGUUUCUAGGAUCGACGUAAUGAUUAAUAGGGAUAGUUGGGGGCAUUAGUAUUCAAUUGUCAGAGGUGAAAUUCUUGGAUUUAUUGAAGACUAACUACUGCGAAAGCAUUUGCCAAGGAUGUUUUCAUUAAUCAAGAACGAAAGUUAGGGGAUCGAAGACGAUCAGAUACCGUCGUAGUCUUAACCAUAAACUAUGCCGACUAGGGAUCGGAUGGUGUUAUUUUUAAUGACUCAUUCGGCGCCUUAAC
rnacentral:rRNA from 1 species